rnacentral:rRNA from 1 species
GUUUACAGCCAUGCUACCCUGAACAAGCCUGAUCCCGUCUGAUCUCGGAAACUAAGCAGGGUCAGGCCUGGUUAGUAUUUGGAUGGGAGACCACUUAGGAAAACCAGGUGCUGUAGGCG